rnacentral:rRNA from 1 species
UGAGGAAUAUUGGUCAAUGGACGCAAGUCUGAACCAGCCAAGUCGCGUGCAGGAAUAAAGUCACCCACGUGUGGGUGUUUGCAUGUACUUUAUGAAUAAGGACCGGCUAAUUCCGUGCCAGCAGCCGCGGUAAUACGGAAGGUCCGGGCGUUAUCCGGAUUUAUUGGGUUUAAAGGGAGCGUAGGCCGCCUGGUAAGCGUGUUGUGAAAUGUCGUUGCUCAACAACGUCACUGCAGCGCGAACUGCCGGGCUUGAGUGUGCGGAAAGCGGGCGGAAUUUGUGGUGUAGCGGUGAAAUGCUUAGAUAUCACGAAGAACUCCGAUUGCGAAGGCAGCUCGCUGUAGCAUUACUGACGCUGAAGCUCGAAGGUGCGGGGUAUCGAACAGGAUUAGAUACCCUGGUAGU